rnacentral:rRNA from 1 species
AUCCAUAGGUUAAUGAGGCGAACCGGGGGAACUGAAACAUCUAAGUACCCCGAGGAAAAGAAAUCAACCGAGAUUCCCCCAGUAGCGGCGAGCGAACGGGGAGGAGCCCAGAGCCUGAAUCAGUGUGUGUGUUAGUGGAAGCGUCUGGAAAGGCGCGCGAUACAGGGUGACAGCCCCGUACACAAAAAUGCACAUGCUGUGAGCUCGAUGAGUAGGGCGGGACACGUGGUAUCCUGUCUGAAUAUGGGGGGACCAUCCUCCAAGGCUAAAUACUCCUGACUGACCGAUAGUGAACCAGUACCGUGAGGGAAAGGCGAAAAGAACCCCGGCGAGGGGAGUGAAAAAGAACCUGAAACCGUGUACGUACAAGCAGUGGGAGCCCUGAUUUAUCAGGGUGACUGCGUACCUUUUGUAUAAUGGGUCAGCGACUUAUAUUCUGUAGCAAGGUUAACCGAAUAGGGGAGCCGGAGGGAAACCGAGUCUUAACUGGGCGUUAAGUUGCAGGGUAUAGACCCGAAACCCGGUGAUCUAGCCAUGGGCAGGUUGAAGGUUGGGUAACACUAACUGGAGGACCGAACCGACUAAUGUUGAAAAAUUAGCGGAUGACUUGUGGCUGGGGGUGAAAGGCCAAUCAAACCGGGAGAUAGCUGGUUCUCCCCGAAAGCUAUUUAGGUAGCGCCUCGUGAAUUCAUCUCCGGGGGUAGAGCACUGUUUCGGCAAGGGGGUCAUCCCGACUUACCAACCCGAUGCAAACUGCGAAUACCGGAGAAUGUUAUCACGGGAGACACACGGCGGGUGCUAACGUCCGUCGUGAAGAGGGAAACAACCCAGACCGCCAGCUAAGGUCCCAAAGUCAUGGUUAAGUGGGAAACGAUGUGGGAAGGCCCAGACAGCCAGGAUGUUGGCUUAGAAGCAGCCAUCAUUUAAAGAAAGCGUAAUAGCUCACUGGUCGAGUCGGCCUGCGCGGAAGAUGUAACGGGGCUAAACCAUGCACCGAAGCUGCGGCAGCGACACUGUGUGUUGUUGGGUAGGGGAGCGUUCUGUAAGCCUGUGAAGGUGUGCUGUGAGGCAUGCUGGAGGUAUCAGAAGUGCGAAUGCUGACAUAAGUAACGAUAAAGCGGGUGAAAAACCCGCUCGCCGGAAGACCAAGGGUUCCUGUCCAACGUUAAUCGGGGCAGGGUGAGUCGACCCCUAAGGCGAGGCCGAAAGGCGUAGUCGAUGGGAAACAGGUUAAUAUUCCUGUACUUGGUGUUACUGCGAAGGGGGGACGGAGAAGGCUAUGUUGGCCGGGCGACGGUUGUCCCGGUUUAAGCGUGUAGGCUGGUUUUCCAGGCAAAUCCGGAGAAUCAAGGCUGAGGCGUGAUGACGAGGCACUACGGUGCUGAAGCAACAAAUGCCCUGCUUCCAGGAAAAGCCUCUAAGCAUCAGGUAACAUCAAAUCGUACCCCAAACCGACACAGGUGGUCAGGUAGAGAAUACCAAGGCGCUUGAGAGAACUCGGGUGAAGGAACUAGGCAAAAUGGUGCCGUAACUUCGGGAGAAGGCACGCUGAUAUGUAGGUGAAGCGACUUGCUCGUGGAGCUGAAAUCAGUCGAAGAUACCAGCUGGCUGCAACUGUUUAUUAAAAACACAGCACUGUGCAAACACGAAAGUGGACGUAUACGGUGUGACGCCUGCCCGGUGCCGGAAGGUUAAUUGAUGGGGUCAGCGCAAGCGAAGCUCUUGAUCGAAGCCCCGGUAAACGGCGGCCGUAACUAUAACGGUCCUAAGGUAGCGAAAUUCCUUGUCGGGUAAGUUCCGACCUGCACGAAUGGCGUAAUGAUGGCCAGGCUGUCUCCACCCGAGACUCAGUGAAAUUGAACUCGCUGUGAAGAUGCAGUGUACCCGCGGCAAGACGGAAAGACCCCGUGAACCUUUACUAUAGCUUGACACUGAACACUGGUCCUUGAUGUGUAGGAUAGGUGGGAGGCUUUGAAGUGUGGACGCCAGUCUGCAUGGAGCCGUCCUUGAAAUACCACCCUUUAAUGGCUGGUGUUCUAACGUUGGCCCGUAAUCCGGGUUGCGGACAGUGUCUGGUGGGUAGUUUGACUGGGGCGGUCUCCUCCUAAAGAGUAACGGAGGAGCACGAAGGUUGGCUAAUCCUGGUCGGACAUCAGGAGGUUAGUGCAAUGGCAUAAGCCAGCUUGACUGCGAGCGUGACGGCGCGAGCAGGUGCGAAAGCAGGUCAUAGUGAUCCGGUGGUUCUGAAUGGAAGGGCCAUCGCUCAACGGAUAAAAGGUACUCCGGGGAUAACAGGCUGAUACCGCCCAAGAGUUCAUAUCGACGGCGGUGUUUGGCACCUCGAUGUCGGCUCAUCACAUCCUGGGGCUGAAGUAGGUCCCAAGGGUAUGGCUGUUCGCCAUUUAAAGUGGUACGCGAGCUGGGUUUAGAACGUCGUGAGACAGUUCGGUCCCUAUCUGCCGUGGGCGCUGGAGAACUGAGGGGGGCUGCUCCUAGUACGAGAGGACCGGAGUGGACGCAUCACUGGUGUUCGGGUUGUCAUGCCAAUGGCACUGCCCGGUAGCUAAAUGCGGAAGAGAUAAGUGCUGAAAGCAUCUAAGCACGAAACUUGCCCCGAGAUGAGUUCUCCCUGAGACUUAGAGUCUCCUGAAGGAACGUUGAAGACGACGACGUUGAUAGGCCGGGUGUGUAAGCGCAGCGAUGCGUUGAGCUAACCGGUACUAAUGAACCGUGAGGCUUAACCUUACAACGCCGAAGGUGUUU